GAUGAACGCUAGCGAUAGGCUUAACACAUGCAAGUCGAGGGGCAGCAUGGUCUUAGCUUGCUAAGACUGAUGGCGACCGGCGCACGGGUGCGUAACGCGUAUGCAACUUGCCUCACAGAGGGGGAUAACCCGUCGAAAGACGGACUAAUACCGCAUACACUCCAUCUUGGGCAUCCAAGGUAGAGGAAAUGAAAUUCGCUGUGAGAUAGGCAUGCGUCCCAUUAGCUAGUUGGUGAGGUAACGGCUCACCAAGGCGACGAUGGGUAGGGGAACUGAGAGGUUGAACCCCCACACUGGUACUGAGACACGGACCAGACUCCUACGGGAGGCAGCAGUGAGGAAUAUUGGUCAAUGGGCGAGAGCCUGAACCAGCCAAGUCGCGUGAAGGAUGACUGUCUUAUGGAUUGUAAACUUCUUUUAUACGGGAAUAACAAGAGUCACGUGUGACUCCCUGCAUGUACCGUAUGAAUAAGCAUCGGCUAACUCCGUGCCAGCAGCCGCGGUAAUACGGAGGAUGCGAGCGUUAUCCGGAUUUAUUGGGUUUAAAGGGUGCGUAGGCGGCCUGUUAAGUCAGCGGUGAAAUCUAGGAGCUUAACUCCUAAAUUGCCAUUGAUACUGGCGGGCUUGAGUGUAGAUGAGGUAGGCGGAAUGCGUGGUGUAGCGGUGGAAUGCAUAGAUAUCACGCAGAACUCCGAUUGCGAAGGCAGCUUACUAAGGUACAACUGACGCUGAAGCACGAAAGCGUGGGUAUCAAACGGG
rnacentral:rRNA from 1 species